UACGAAGGGGGCUAGCGUUGCUCGGAAUCACUGGGCGUAAAGCGCACGUAGGCGGAUUCUUAAGUCGGUGGUGAAAUCCUGGAGCUCAACUCCAGAACUGCCUUCGAUACUGAGAGUCUUGAGUCCGGGAGAGGUGAGUGGAACUGCGAGUGUAGAGGUGAAAUUCGUAGAUAUUCGCAAGAACACCAGUGGCGAAGGCGGCUCACUGGCUCGUAACUGACGCUCAGGCGCGACAGCGUGGGGAUCAAACAGG
rnacentral:rRNA from 1 species